CAUCUCCUGAUAUUCAGUUCGUGUCUGAUCACGAGAUUGGUCCCUCAGAGUCAGGAGGGAUGCUUCUGUAUCACAGUCAAGGAGCAGAGUAGAUCCUUCAGAGGUCAGACUUGCAGAUGAUCAGAUUGAGUUAAUGUCCCAGCGUGUUGCUUCCAUUUUAUCCCAGCAGUUUGCCACCUCAGAUUUUACUCAGAGGAUGACAUCUCAGGCUAUUUCAGAUCAGACCUUGAUCCCUUAUAUCUCUACUAUCUUUUAGAUACUUACAGCUCAGUCCGCACAUAUUGAGGAGCUUGAAGGAUAUAUUCUAAGACUGAUGGGUAGAGUUUUGCAUUUGCAGAGGUAGGUAUUAGCCUUAGCCCAUCCCCGGCCGUAAGAGAACAUCAUGGAGGUCUCUGACCUAUCUGCAGAGGUGGCUAGGCUUCGAGGCAUUUUGCAGAGUAGCUUUGAUUU
rnacentral:lncRNA from 1 species